GGGACAGGAAUAUAAUAAUUAACUGUUUAAAGGGAGGUCAAAGAGGCACAGGCGCUUUGAGCGGUUUUCCCAGGAACCAGCA
ensembl:miRNA